CUAGCUGCUUCACAGGUGAAAUGGUAGCGUAAUAUUCCAAUCUUCAGUGGCUGUAAAAAUCUUGUGUUCAUUCAAUGAACAUAUUUCUCACAGAUAGGAGAAGCUUAUAGCCAGUAUUACACUAGCCAGAUUAAAACCACAUAAUGUAAAUGCAGGUGAGGUAAAAAGAGAGUUGUGUAUGUCUUCAAAUCAUAACAGCGCUGUUUUUUCACCUUUGCUCCCAGGCAUCUGGUGUGCUGCUAAACAGUAACAGUAAGCAGCAGUCUUUGUCAUCUUAUGAUGGUCUUGUAAGAGAGAAUGAACACAGGCUUCAUUAUUUUUUAUCACCAUCAAGGUUCUCCUUGGUUCCCCAGUGGUCAAGGAUCCAGGCUAUUCAGAAAGAGUCCUUCCAGCUUUCAGCCAGCCAUUUCAUCUGACACCCUUGGACCAUCACCUGAGAAGAUAAUGAGGGAAAUCAGGUGAGAGAUAAAGAAGCUAAAAAAUAACAGAGCAAGGAGGAAGGAGCUGGAAAACAGCAAGAGGAAGAGAAAAAGAUUAGGAAACUGUAGUGAGGAGACAGAAAGAAGCUGGAAAGCAGCAGUGGGGAGUGCACCAUUUUCUCCCAGACUCUAUGAACUCAAGAUAUAAAUAAAGCUUGAAAAAAAAAAGUGACGUGUGGAUGAAGGAGGAAAAACAACAGAUCCAGACACCCUGGUACCACUCAGUGGCAAUAGAUGCCAAACACAACAAAUCUGUUUUACAACAAGCCUGGAUCACUAAUCACCUUUCUCAUGAAAGCUAUAUGAGUUGGGAGGAGGAAGUAACCAGAGAGUCUAUUCUCAGCAGAUUUCCAGCUCUAGUUUGCAGGCCCAAGAGAGUAUGGCAAGGCCACUACCACUGAGCCAGGGGAAUAAGCGGACUCCAAAAUACUCAUGCAUUGGCAUGAUGAUGGAAUUGUGAUAGCUCAGCAAAGCAGGGGACUACAACUCCCAUCAGCCCCUUCCCCGCUGCACUUCCCUUCCCCCAGCCUGGUAAAGGGAAAGGUCCUGAACCAAUAAGUGGCCAGGGUCCAUUUGAAGACAGCGGCUGUAUGGCAAGUGAGGAGCUGCAGGGAAGGUGAAGCAGCAGCUGCAUGGCAAGCCAGGGGCUGGAAAGAAGCUGGAGACCAGAAAGGAUGCAGAGCUCUGUGUGGAACAGGCUCUGAGUGAGAGACAUCACAGUUGCAUGCAGACUUGUCUACAGCUAGUUCCUGAUAUAGCAGCAAAGAGAAUUCCCUAUACCUCUACAUCAUAUCUGGAGGAGCUAAGAUGGCAAGAUAUGCAGUCAUAGCAGCCUAGAGAGAGGGCAGCUGACCAGUGGCAGUGGAAAGAUCUGUAAGAUUUCAAUCCAGAGAGGGGAUGAGCACUUUCUGUUAAGAACUGAAAACCCAUAACUCGCUCUGAAGUCAGGAGUGGAGGACACUCAUUCAGAACCUGAGAAGAGUCAACACUUUU